rnacentral:rRNA from 1 species
CGGGCAACCUGCCCUCAGCUCUGGGACAACUCCAAGAAAUUGGGGCUAAUACCGGAUAUGACUGCUGACCGCAUGGUCUGGUGGUGGAAAGAUUUAUCGGCUGGGGAUGGGCCCGCGGCCUAUCAGCUUGUUGGUGGGGUAGUGGCCUACCAAGGCGACGACGGGUAGCCGGCCUGAGAGGGUGACCGGCCACACUGGGACUGAGACACGGCCCAGACUCCUACGGGA